CUAGCCGUAGAACAUAAUCAGUGGCGUGCUGGUCAUAGAAACAUAAAAGCAUUGCUUACCCUAGUUAAAAAUUGAAACAG